GCAAAUUAGUAAAAUAUCCCAAUUCAUAUCUCUAAGAAUUUCCUGCUCAAGACAUUGAAUCCUCAGCACCAUUCACACAACUAAGAAUCUAGGGUUUUCCAAUCUCAAGAUCCAGCAUUGAACAUGACAUGAGCUACCCCUUCUGUCAUCCUUUCACCUUAUGUUAUGCAAAUCCUAUUGGGCUGUUUUAAAAUAAAUUAAUUAGCAUAAUUUGUUCUAAAAUUAUCUGAUUGAUGACAUAUGAACUACCAUUAUAAUAACAUACUUUGAUGGCUCUAUGAAGUGUGAACACUAGAAUCUUGGUCAGCUAGCAUCCAAGAGGACCAAGACAACACCACAAAAAGGAUGAAGAGAGACAAAGCAGUAGAGUAAAGAAAUUUACAUCAAUAAAUCCAAUAAUAAAUCAUCAACAUGGCAAGAUCGCAACACAAACAUGAUUAGAACAACAUUAAGGACCAACCCAAAAACAAAAUUAAUAAAGAAAAAGCAAGCCUAUAAUGUCUUAAACAUUACAAGAACAAACAAAAUAACACCCACAUGAGAUCCUUUUCCAUUCAUAUAUAUAGAGAGUAACAAGAUCAAACAUGGGGUUUGUUGGUAAUAGUAUUCAUAACAACAUCAAUCAACGUUUCUUCAUGUUCUUGACCUUAAUCCAUCCUUUCUUGCAUGAUUCUCCCACGAUCUUGACUCCUUUCUUGAACAAAACCGUGAGCUCCUUGGCUCUCACCUUCACCUUGUUCUCAAAAUCACCCAUGUCUAGAGAUGGAGAAAGGGCGAGAAGGGGAGAGAAGAUAAUUAACACAAGAAAAGGAAUAACCUUUUAGUAGAGAAUCUAGAGGUAUAUAUGGACGAAGAGGAAGUUAGGGCAAGCUAAGAUUUGGGUGUCUCCUUUCUGUUAACGAGUAAAGAUAGUUGCUUUGCAAGCCUAGCACAGAGAGAGAGAUUCUAAGGAAAGAAGUGAUGGCUCUUCUUGGUUGGAGGCUACUUAAUGUUAAGGUAAUUACGUGGGAUCCAACGCAUUGAAGGACACGUGGCAAAGAUCAAGUGGGUUACAUGACUUUUUAGCUCCUGAUUGUCUCAUAUUAGACGUUGCGUGUUAUGGUCUUGGUCGAACUGGAGGGUUCGUUUUGUCAGGCAAUAGGCUUUAGUUUUGUCCGAGCUUCGUGUUUAAGACAGGUAAAUUUUAGUUACCAUUUCUCUGAAGAAUUGUGGUAAAUUUAGAUAUUUUCUAAAAAAACAGAAGCCUCCAAUAGAUUCUAUAUAUAAGAAAUUCUUACUGUUUAGAAAAAAGACAUAUUAGAAAUAAAAAUGUAUUUAAUUAAAAAAAUCAUAAUCUUUAAAUGAAUUCUUAUAGUUUUAUUUUUUAAAAAAAACUACUCUUAUCUUCUUAAACAAUAAUUAAGUAUUUAUAAAUAAAUAUAUAUUAAUUUAAUAAUUCUGUCAUUUCUAUUUAAUAUUUAUUUAUAAAUUUUGAUUUUUCUUGAAAUAUUGCUAAUGAAAUUAACUUUCGUCUCUCAUGAAGUAUUCUUGGAAAAUUUAAGAGAUUUUAGUUUUCACUUUAAAAUCCCAUCUUAAAUAAUACUACUACUAAUAAUAAUAAAAAAACAUAUUAUGCAACGACUUGCUUGCAUUGUUGACUUGCUAACCUAGAUGAGAAUCAAGAUUCCAAAGCAUUGCUAUUGGGAUUGAUUAGAUAUCCAGAUCAGAAGAAUAAUUAAUGAAGAAAAUAAAAUUUAAAUGUAAUAUUCUUAUUCUUUUUCUGUGGGAAUUUCUUCUUUCUCGUAAAAUAUGUGAACUUGUUUUUCCUUUACGAGGCCAUUAAUUUAGAUUAUUGCUCCAGCCUCCAACGGCAAAGCACUGACUUAAUCUCUCUCUCUCUGCUUGGGAGAUGGGACCAUAAACGCCAAAUGCUUUAAAUCAUAAAUACUAUUAAAUGAAAAAAAAUGGUUUGGGAACUUGGAACAGCUCAUUGAGAGGUGUUAAAGUGUUCUAACAAAGUUUUUUCCCCAGCCUGGAACAAGCCGAAAGGAGUCAAACUUGACACAAACCUUUAAUACCGUGCAGCCAUUGUGUAAAUACAAUUUAGUAAAGCAACUAGAAAGAAGUGUGUGUGUGUGUAUUGAUAACUUAUUAUUAUUUUUUAUAUUUGAAAUAAAAUACUUAAAUCAUUUAUUUUUGUUAAAAAAAAAUUUAUUUGGUUGCUACAAGAACCCUUAUAUUAACCACUUUUCAACUAAUAUUUUCACCAUCUUUAUAUUAAAUUUAGUAUCCGAUAUUGGACCGCCAUGAAUUUUCUUGUAGCACAAGAGAAAAGCUUGAAAUCGGCUGUUUUCCUUUCUAUCUGCAAAGAUCUUCAGGUGAAUGAAGCCACGAUAAUAGACAAAAAAUCAUGUGAGAAGUAAUUGAUGCACUUUUCAAGCACAUGGCACAGCUUAGCUUCCAUGCAACCAGAGUUUAUCAGGCAAGGAUGAUGAUGAUAAAGGGUCCCUUGUCCACCUGCAAUGUUCAGUUUUAUGUUUUACUUUUCACAGCCUGAGAGUUGAGCUUUAACAGCAUACUGGGAAUAUUACUAUCUCUUUAUCGGACAGUGAACACUUGGAGGAUUGCAACGGCUAUGGAUAAAGCUGAAGUUGGCAUCACUUCGAAUUUAAAAAUAUAAGGAGGACAUCAAGCUGCAGAUAAGAUCAAACGUCCUUGUGAAUUCGACUUUCAAGUCUUUUUUUAAGAUUUUGGGUCCACAGUGUGUUUAGAUUCUUUAGAAUAUUCAUGAUGUGGGCCAAUUGAUCUUGCUGUUUAUAUCAAGCAGCAUUAUUGGACGUUCGAUAUGGGCAGAGAAAAAAUGACUUUGAUGGCUAUAUUCCAAGGAGGAGGGGGGCGAAAGACAGACGAAAAUGUUUGAAGGAGAAUGAUUGGAUCUUCACAGGAACCAAGACUUUUGGUCCGAUCAUAAUUGUGUCUCCUUAAAAUCAAAUAUGGGUUCAACGUGGAAGCUUCAUGAGAGCAUCACUCAUUUCUAAACCUAAGGGAACGUGGAUAUUUUUGUCUGUUAAAUUAUAUUUGGUUAGUGUUUUGAAA
rnacentral:lncRNA from 1 species